AUUGAACGCUGGCGGCAUGCCUUACACAUGCAAGUCGAACGGCAGCACGGGGGCAACCCUGGUGGCGAGUGGCGAACGGGUGAGUAAUACAUCGGAACGUGCCCAGUAGUGGGGGAUAGCCCGGCGAAAGCCGGAUUAAUACCGCAUACGACCUACGGGUGAAAGCGAGGGAUCGCAAGACCUCGCGCCAUCGGAGCGGCCGAUGUCAGAUUAGGUUGUUGGUGAGGUAAGAGCUCACCAAGCCGACGAUCUGUAGCUGGUCUGAGAGGACGACCAGCCACACUGGGACUGAGACACGGCCCAGACUCCUACGGGAGGCAGCAGUGGGGAAUUUUGGACAAUGGGGGCAACCCUGAUCCAGCCAUGCCGCGUGCGGGAAGAAGGCCUUCGGGUUGUAAACCGCUUUUGGCAGGAACGAAACGGCGCAAGCCAAUACCUUGCGCUAAUGACGGUACCUGCAGAAUAAGCACCGGCUAACUCUGUGCCAGCCGCCGCGGUAAGAC
rnacentral:rRNA from 1 species